UACGUAGGGUGCGAGCGUUGCCCGGAUUUAUUGGGCGUAAAGGGCGCGUAGGCGGCUCGGCACGUCCGUUGUGAAAUCGCCCGGCUCAACUGGGCGGGGUCAGCGGAUACGGUCGAGCUUGAGCAAGCUAGGGGGCAAUGGAAUUCCCGGUGUAGUGGUGGAAUGCGUAGAUAUCGGGAGGAACACCAGUGGCGAAGGCGGCUCUCUGGGCCUUACCUGACGCUGAGACGCGAAAGCGUGGGGAGCGAACCGG
rnacentral:rRNA from 1 species